ensembl:lncRNA
UUUUUUUUUUUUUUUUUUUUUUUUUUCUGCUUUUUAGCGCUGUACCUGUGGCAUAUGGAAGUUCCCAGGCUAGGAGUUGAAUCAGAGCUACAGCUGCCAGACUACACCACAGCCACAGCAAUGCCAGAUCCGAGCCAUGUCUGCAACCUACACCACAGCUCCCGGCAAUGCCAGAUCCUUAACCCACUCAGCGAGGCCAGGGAUAGAACCUGCAUCCUCAUGGAUACUAGUCGGGUUCGAACCCACUGAGCUACACUGGGAACUCCCCCAACCAACAUCUUCAUUGCAACUUCAUGAGACCUCCUGAGUCAGAACUACCCAUCUAAGCUGCUGAAUUCCUGACCCAGAGACAACAGUGGAGUUAAUGCUUGUUGUUUACUAGUUAUAAAAAAUGUAACUAAUACACUUUAUAAUCAGCCUCCUUGGAUCAGCAAUUGCUUUGGGGUUGAGCUGCCCCCAUCUCCUUUCCCUGGCUGUGGUCACAGAGAAUCUGCAUUGAAGAGGGUCCAGGCCCUGUGGAUCUGGACAUGAAAGAAAGAAAAAUAGCUAAUAUGUGCCAUCUGCCAGGCAUGGAGCUAAGCAGUUUCCAUUCAUCUUCCUACUAAAAAUCCCAAUACCGUCAUCCUCAUUUUACAGAUGGGAAAACAGGUGUCAAAAGGUUGAGAAGCCACCCAAGAUUACACAGGGUGGGAGCAGAGCUGGGGUUUGAAUCAAACUCCACAAUUCCAGCCCCCGGAAGUACUGAGUGACCUCUUGAAGGGGACAGUGGCUCAAGGGCCCAUUCCCUUCUCCUGUCCACCCUCCCCCAUCCCACCAUCCACUUGCUCUCCUGUGAGGGUAACUAAUCCCACCCAGCCUGUUUUCCCUUAGCCAAGGCAGUGCCUCUGCCCUCUCCCUGUUGCCAAGUAAGCACAUCCCUCACCUGCCCCAGUGCAGGUCACUGGGCAUGUUCAUGGUGAAAUGUCCCUUCUGGAGCCCAGCCCGCCUCCCACUGGUUCAGAUUCAAAGACAGGCCCAGAGAGGUGCAGUGGUUUAUCUAAUGGGCACAACAUUGUAAGGCAACUACACUUUAAUUUUAAAAAUUUUUAAAAGACAGAGGCAGCAGGAGCUCCCUCUGUGGCACAGUGGGUUAAGAACAUGACCAUAGGAGUUCUCUGAUAGCCUAGCAGGUUGAGCCUCCUGUGUUCUCACUGCUGUGGCUCUAGUUGCUGCUGUUCGGCAUAGGUUCAAUCCCUGGUCCAGCAAUUCCCACAUACUGCCUGCGUGGCAAAAAAAGCAAAAAAAAAAAAACCCCAAAACAAGAGAGAGACUGAAAUAAACGUUGCAACUUCCAUUAAAUAAUAAUAAUAAUAAUCUGACUGCAGUGGCUCAGGUCGCUACAGAGGCCAGAGGGAUCCCCACCCCAGUGUUGCCGCAGCUGCAGGGUAGGUCACAGCUGCGGCUCAGAUUCAAUCUCUGGCCCGGUUUUAUCUCUGGCCUAGGAAAUUACUCAGGCCAUGGGCCCCCCCAAAAAAAAAAAAAAAAAAGACAAGACAGUAGCAGCAGAGAGAACACUGAGGCUGCAACCCAGAUCUCCUGGCCCCUCUCAACCCAGCCUGCACCCUGGGGCUGCCUUUCCCAGUGUCACCUGCCCUGUACCCAGGGUAGGUUCCACUCACCUGCCCAGAUACUGGGGAUUGGAACUUGAGGCCAAACUUCCCAGCAUCCUCCACUGCCCCCGGGCACUGAGGGAGCCAGGCAGAGGGGGCUUAUCUCUACCUGUGAGGUGGUGUUGCCUCUCCCCAACCUCCCCCCCUCCAACCUCCGCCAGGCAGCCUUGAUUAAUGGGCUGGUGCUAUCUUAUCUCCCAGCUGCAGCAGUUAAGGAUUAAUGGGUGGUGGCAGGGCCCCGGGAGGACACAUCCUGCCCCCAGAUCAACCUAAGGCUCUGCAGGAGGGCGGGGAGCAGGAGGAAAGGGGACCAGGGGGGGUCUCUGCAAAGCCCCCAGGACAGGGCCUGGCUCUCAAGUGGGGCUCAGUAAAUGGUAGCCGUGGCUACACUCUGCUGUCAUUAGCUCUUGGAGGCCUUGGGCCCGUGGCUGCCCUGUGGUUGACCAAAGUCUCCACCACUGCACAGCCCAUGGACUAACUAGGAAGCCACCUCCCCGUCCAGCCUCAGGUGCCCCGUCUAUAAAAUGGGCACAAGACUGGGCUUUGGAAAUGGGGUUGUAGGUCUGACGUUAUUUUAUUGAGUGAACCGGGAGUGGGUUUGGGGGUUUAUUUAUCCAGAGGUGAGGCUUUAGAAAACCGCUUCACACUCAGCCUCGAUUUCCUCAUCUGUAAAAGGGGUGUGAUAAUAUCUGCAUUGCCCACUACAUGGCAUUGCUAGGAAGAAACAACUUCUGGAAAGCCCUGCAGGGACGGUUCUGUGUCAUCCUGGGUGUGAACUCCCAGACACUAAACUCUGACCGAGAGGCUCAUGUGGAUGCAAGUUGCUACUGACACAACCAACCCCAAACCCAGGCUCAGCUUUGGGAGAGAAGGCGGUUUGAGUCACAGGCCCUCCCGCCAGGGCUGAGGAAGGGGGACCAGACAUUCUGCUGUGCCCAGGACAGUCCCAGACUAUCCCACUGCCCAGGCGCGAUCGUUCAUAGCACCCCCUCUCCAAGGGUCCCCCUCUUGGAGAUCCAGUUAUGCGGUCCCUGGGCUGGAGGAACAAAGUUCUAGCUGCCUCGGGGAGAGAAAUUCCACCAAGUCUUGAGCAAGCGGCCAGCAUGUCUGAAGUCAGGCAUCCAACCCUACCAGGGCCAAGCAGGGCCCAGACUCCGAAGCCCAUGGCUCACAGGACUCCCCCAACCCCCUCCCUAGUUUGCUCAAGAAACACGUGGUAAUUAUACAGGGAAAAGAAAGAUAUCAAGAUGCGUGAGGGGGAAGGGGGAGGUACUUUCAAAUGAAUAGACAAAAAAUGGAUGCAUGGAUGCAUGGAUGCAUGGAUGCAUGGAUGGAUGGAUGAGGGCAGGAAUGAAGAGAUGAAUGGCAGAGUCUCACUGGCCCCUAGCCUUUGACAGAGCACAGCAAACAGGCAGCCGAGCAGAGGGCUCUCUUUCCAGAAAGACAUACAGAUUGACCCUCUGGGGCCCCGGGGAAGCCAGUCUCCCCCCACCCCACUCCAAGACAUUCCUAAGACCCCCCCUUUCGCUUCACCCUCUGCCUCUUCCCACUGCCCCAUCCCAAAGGGCAAAGGGCAGCACAGCCAGGAAAGCUAUCUGCUCUCAGCCCCAUUUAUCCCAGCCCUGUUUACUCUGGGUCUGCAAUUAACAGAGUCUCCAUCUCAGAUCAAUUAAUAAUGGGGGGCCCAAAGAGGGCACCAGGGGGGCCCCGACAGGCCAUGUUACUCAUUGUAAACAAUGGGCAAUGGAUGAAAACUAGUCCCUAAUCCUUUUCUGAGGUGUCCCAUCAGCCACCUCCUCAGACUCCCAAAGAGGCACCCAGGUCCCAGACUCAGAAGGGCUGACAUUGGAUAGCACUAGAAAGCCCUGCCUCAAGGUGUUCAGGUCUACGCAGGUGCAGCCGGGGUCCUGGAUCUGCCUUCACCUGGGAAGCUCCCAGGAUUAGGACCAAAAGACUGUCUAGCCUCAUAGUGAAGAUCAUAGGCCCUGGGAAGGGAUCAGACCCAAGUUCAUAGACCCGUCUUGUCUCACUUACCAACUGUGGGCUGGGGGCAGGGAGGCUGGGAAACUCGAUGGGAACAGAGUUUCUUUUGGGGGUGAUGCAAAUUUUUAGAACUAGUUAGAAGUGGUGGUUGCCUAACAUUGAGAAUGUAUUCUGUGACACUGAAGUUUUUGGUGGUGGUUGUUUUUUGCUUUUGAGGGUCGCACCUGCCACAUAUGGAAGUUCCCAGGCUGAGGGAUUGAAUCAGAGCUGCAGCUGCCAGCCUACGCUACAGCCACAGCAAAGCAAGAUCUGAGCCACAUCUGUGACUUACACUGCAGUGUACAGCAAUGCCAGAUCCUUAACCCACUGAACGGGGCCAGGGAUUGAACCCGCAUCCUCAUGGAUGCUAGUCGGGUUCUUAACCCACUGAGCUGCAACAGGAACUCCAGCCACUGAAGUAUUUUUAAAAUGGUUAAUUUCAUGUUCUAGGAAUUUCACCUCACUAAAAAUAUUAUUAAUAAUAAUAAUAAUUUAAAAGUCAGUUUCUCAGUAGCACUAGCCAUAGUUUAAGCACCCCGUAGCCAUAUGUGGCUAGUGGGUCCCAAACCAAAGGUCAUAGAUACAGAAUAUACCCAUCACAACAGGGAGUUUUUUAUUUAUUUUUUUAAUUUAAUUUUAUUUUAUUUAUUUAUUUAUUUUUGUCUUUUUGCCUUUUCUUGGGCCGCUCCUGUGCAUAUGGAGGUUCCCAGGCUAGGGGUCUAAUCGGAACUGUCUGUGGCCACUGGCCUACGCCACAGCCACUGCUACGCGGGACCCGAGCCACAUCGGCAACCUACACCACAGCUCAUGGCAACGCCGGAUCCUUAACCCGCUGAGCGAAGCCAGGGAUCGAACCCGCAACUUCAUGGUUCCUAGUUGGAUUCGUUAACCACUGAGCCAUGACGGGAACGCCUGCCCAUCCUACUUCUGAUGAGUAAACAAAAAUAAAAAACCAUGGGGCAUAUGCAGGGUGAGGAGGAACAAGGGGCUCGGCGCAGACCCUGAGCAAUUCCAGCAGAUGCCCACUGGGUCAGAGUAACCGCUGACCCAUCAGAACAGAGAUCCGGCCCAUCAGAACAGAGGUCCUACCCGUCAGAACACCCAGAACAGCCAAAUAGGGCCCAGCUGGCUGCAUGAGGCCCUGGAGAGAACUCCCCCUGGACAGGGGCCACCAUGGGGGGACAAGAAUGCAGGGUGGGACGAGAAUACUGGCUCCAGCCCAGCCCUUCCCUCACUCGCCCCCUUCUCAUCUGUCUUAUCGGCUGAGUUCCCACAAGCCACAUCAUUUGAAAACAGGAUCGCCUUACUCUAAAAACACCCAUGGUGAAAAGCCUUGAUCUAUGAGAGCUUCGCCACAGGGGCUCUGUUGGCCCUUGGGGCGGGACAACUCUUGGUCAUGCAGGGCUGGGCUGGACGUUACCCAGUAAAUGCCAAUAGCAACCCCAAUGGUCCUGAUGACCAAACCCGGGCAGGCGCAGGCUACGCAUCCAGCUGAGGGGCACUUCUUGCCCAACUCUCCCUGCUUUACAGGUGGAACACGGAGACCCUAGACCUUGAGUGACCAGCCUAAGGCCACAGCGCAGCAGGUGAGUGGAGGAGAGAAGAGCCAAGAGAAGUGGUGGCUCAAUUUCCCAGAAGUGGGCAGGAGGGAGGAUGGGGUCCCUUUCAGAGAGGCUGGUGUGGGCACACAUACCCUUAACUGCCACCAGCUGGAAGUACUAGGACAGGUAGCCCCCCUGUGGCCUGAACCCUCAGCAUCCUGAGAAGCACAGAAGGGCCAUUCUGGGGCCAAGCAGAGGCUGCCACCACCUCAGUGGCCCUCGGGGCAAGCGCCCAGCAGUUCCCAGGCUGAGGCUCCCAGCUCCCUCCCAGCAGAGGACAAUUGCUCCAUUGGCCAGGGUGGGGGAGAGGAGAUUCGCUGGCCCCCGCCCGGCCCAGCUUCUCCCCACCCGCACCCACUCCUUAAUGAGGCCAUUGUUUGCCCAGGGUUCCCCGUACAGCAGGACCCCCACCCCUGGCACUCCUGCCCUGGGUUUCCCCUCAGCGGUCCUGCCCUCCAGGACCUCCUGGGGGCUUCCUGACUUCCUCUCUUGCACUAGGAGCACAAAGGGCCCUGGGGCCUCUCUGACCUCCAGUUCCCCUCCCAGGGCCACUCACUUCCCUCUCCCAGCCUCUGUUUUUUAAAUUAAUCAAAGAUGCAUGGACCGCCAAUUGACUUCUGUUCAGCCUGAGAGAAGGAGUUCCAUCCUGAGAGCGUGUAAUUCAGCCAAAAGCAAAGAAAUCUGCUGUUUUAUUUACGGGCAAAUGAACCAUUCUAUGUUGAUUUGGGGAAACAUGGAGAAUAGCUUAUCAAGCUUUGUAGCGCCUCCCCAGACCCUGGGUGGUCAGGAAUCAGCAGAAUAGAGAACAGCUUUCAGCAGAAACAUUUCAUUUCCCAAGAGCCUCCAUGCAGCCACAGCCGGGGCUGAGAGAGGGGCACGUGCACUGCCCCCUGCCCCACCCCACCCCCACCCCCCAUUGCACAGAACAUUCUCAACACUUAGUCUGGAGCAGUUUGAAGCAUCUUCAGGUUUUUCUCACUUCAUCUUACCAACAAAUUGGCAAAUGAAAGUCCCUGAUUUGCAGAUGGGGAAACUGAGGCACCGCAAGUUGUAUGGGAACUGGAGUUCCCACACAAGCAGUGGAGGCAAAAGCCUAAUGAUAAUAGGUCCUUUGACUCUGAGUCCAGGGAUCCUCUUCUUCUCUGCAGAGCUUUGGGGCACCUCUCCACACCCCCUCCAGGAACACACUCUAGUUGUGAUCUUGUUUUGCCUAUUUGUUCAUUGCGGCUGCCCCUCUGGAUCUCAUGCUGCCUGGAGGCAGAACCAGGCUGCCCAGGGUCAAACCUGCUGCAGCCUCAUGGCCUGCGUCCCACUCACAGGUCUGCCCUGGUCCCAGGGUCCUCCUCCCCUAUGAAGCAGUUUGGGUAAUUGCUCAAAGGGACGGAACACCCUCCAGUCACCUCUCACGUGCAGGCAGGAAGACAAAGCCAAAGACGAAAGCCCUGGGUUCAAGUUCUGACUCGGCUUUUUGGCUGCGUGACUCUGCACAAGUAACUGAACAUCUCUGGGUCUCAGUGUUCUCAUAUUAAAUGGGAUGGCAGUGCCUCCUUCACGGUGCUAUUGGAAUAAUUAAACGAGGUAAUGUAUGGGAAAGCACAGAGCAUCAGGCCAGGAAUCCAGGAUCCCCGAAACCAGUGUUCAAGAGAGGAGGGGGUGGAGUCCACAUGAGUUCAGGAGGCCUGUCUGUCUCCACCAGCUCUCCCCACAGUCACCCUAUCGCUCUCCAGAUCUUCUCUGGGCCUUUCAAGAAUUCCAACAGGGGAGUUCCCAUCAUGGCUUAGCAGUAACGAACCCAACUAGUACCCGUGAGGAUGCGGGUUCGAUCCCUGGCCUUGCUCAGUGGGUUAAGGAUCCGGCAUUGCCAUGAGCUGUGGUGUAGUUCGCAGAUGCAGCUUGGAUCCCGAGUUGCUGUGGCUGUGGUGUAGGCCAGUGGCCACAGCUCCAAUUGGACCCCUAGCCUGGGAACUUCCAUAUGCCACACCUGCAGCCCUAAAAAGAUUUAAAAAAAAGAAGAAUUCCAACAGAACGCAAGAAAGGUUAAAGGAAGCUGGCUCUGCCCUGAGCCCAUCUGGAUCCAAAGACUCCUUUCUCCUGCCACUUUCAUCCACCAAGUAUUCAUCGACUCAUUCAGUCAUUCACUUGUGAAACAUAUAGGGAGCAUCUACCAUGUGACUGGCAGUUUGCUAGGAGCCAGAGAGGCAGAGACAGGCAAGUCUUACCCUUGCAGUACCCUCAGCCUACCAGGAAGCUAGAAACUGAGAAAAUCGACCUAGUGAGAUGACGACAGGAGACAAGGGCUGCAAAGGGAGGGCUGGGGUCCUCUAAGCGCACCCACCCAGGACGCCUGGCCUCCCUUGGGAGCCUUGGGAGGAACUUCUUUUUUUUCCUGGCAGCACCCAUGGCGUGUGGAAGUUCCCGGACCAGGGAUCAAACCUGUGCCACAACUGUGAUAAUGCCAGAUCCUUCACUGCUGGCCAAGGGGAAAUCAAGAACUUCAUGCUAAGAGCAAUCAGAGCAACUGAGGGUCUCGAGCUGAAGGGG